rnacentral:rRNA from 1 species
GACGAACGCUGGCGGCGUGCUUAACACAUGCAAGUCGAACGAAGUGGCGAACGGGUGAGUCACGCGUAAUCAACCUGCCCUUCAGAGGGGGACAACAGUUGGAAACGACUGCUAAUACCGCAUACUUAAGGAGGGGAUUGCGUCUGAUUAGCUAGUUGGAGGGGUAACGGCCCACCAAGGCGAUGAUCAGUAGCCGGUCUGAGAGGAGGAACGGCCACAUUGGGACUGAGACACGGCCCAGACUCCGACGUGAGGCAGCAGUGUGGAAUCUUCCGCAAUGGACGAAAGUCUGACGGAGCAACGCCGCGUGAGUGAGGACGGCCUUCGGGUUGUAAAGCGCUGUUAAUCGGGACGCGGUACCGGAAUAGAAAGCCACGGCUAACUACGUGCCAGCAGCCGCGGUAAUUC